ACUUCGUAGGGCACGAUCUCGUUUUUGUACUUCGAUCUGUGUGGUACUUGAAUCCUUUCCUAAAUAUUUUUCUGCUGGCUAUACAAAGAGUAUCAAUUGAUGAAAAAAAUGCUUCAACUGUCUUUGGUUUAAUGGCGUUGAAUGUUGCCAAAAUAGCACUAAUGAUUUCAUCAAUGUCACGUAGAAUGGAGAAUACAAGCAAUUUGAAACCAAUCAUUGUUACUUCUAAAUGACUCAUACACUUGCAUAAUUAUGCUAAGUUAACAUUUUGGUGAAUAAAAAAGAUAAAUUGAAUCAUAAAAA